GUGCCAGCCGCCGCGGUAAAACCAGCUCCUCGAGGGGUCCCCACGCAUACUGGGCCUAAAGCGUCCGUAGCCGGCCCCGUAAGUCCCCGGUUAAAUCCACCGGAAGACCGGUGGGCCGCCGGGGAUACUGCGGGGCUAGGGAGCGGGAGGGGCCGAGGGUAUUCCGGGGGAUAGCGGUAAAAUGCGUAGAUCCCCGGAGGACCACCAGUGGCGAAGGCGCUCGGCUGGAACGCGUCCGACGGUGAGGGCCGAAAGCUGGGGGAGCAAACCGGAUUAGAUACCCGGGUAGUCC
rnacentral:rRNA from 1 species